rnacentral:rRNA from 1 species
AAUGAACGCUGGCGGCAGGCCUAACACAUGCAAGUCGAACGGCAGCACAGUAAGAGCUUGCUCUUACCGGGGGGGGGAGGGGGGCGUGACACGUAUGCAUCCUAACCUACUCUUUCGUGGGGGUUAAGGAAGGGAAACUUACUCUAAUACCGCAUACGACCUAGGGGUGAAAGGAUGGGAAAUUUUGACCUGGUGGGAUUGAAUGAGCCGAUGUUGGAUUAGUUGGUGGGGGGGGUAAAGGCCCACCAAGUGGAGGGUCCGUAGCUGGUCUGAGAGGAUGGGAAGCCACCCUGGAACUGAGACACGGUCCAGACUCCUACGGGAGGGGCCAGUGGGGAAUAUUGGACAAUGGGCGGAAGCCUGAUCCAACCGUGCCGCGUCGGUGAAGAAGACCUUCGGGUUGUAGAGCCCUUUUGUUGGGAAAAAACAGCAGCAGGCUGAUACCACGCUGUUCUGACGGUAACCAAUGAAUAAGCACCGGCUAACUUCGUG